AACACGUAGGUGAUCUGCCCUUGAGUUGGGGAUAGCUCAUGGAAACAUGGGGUAAUACCGAAUACGGUCCGGGAACUGUAGUACCCGGAAGAAAAGCGCUUCGGCGCUGCUCGAGGAUGAGCCUGCGGCUGAUUAGCUAGUUGGUGAGGUAAUGGCUCACCAAGGCGACGAUCAGUAGCCGGCCUGAGAGGGUGAACGGCCACACUGGGACUGAGAUACGGCCCAG
rnacentral:rRNA from 1 species